rnacentral:lncRNA from 1 species
AAUGACGCUCAACUAAAAGUAGCACACGCUGCGAGGCUGCUCGGCUCGUGGCUUAUGUUGCCUUGGUUAGCUCGGCUUGCGGCGUUUGAAGGUGAGGGAGUCCCUUUUAUAGAAUAAGGGCUCACUCCUCAAUACAUGAAUGAUAUGCUAGAGUUGAUGCUCUCUAAUGGUGGUAAGGGAGUCCCUUUUAUAGAAUAAGGGAUCGCUCAUCAAUAUAUAAGUAAUGGGCUAGAGUUGAUGCUCGUGGCGAGGCGGUUGCUCAGUAGGCGGCGAUGCUCUCUAAUGGUGAUGAGGGAGUCCCUUUUAUAGAAUAAGGGCUCGCUCCUCAAUACAUAAAUGAUGGGCUAGGAGUGAUGCUCGCGGUGAGGCGGUUGCUCAGCUGGCGGCGAUGCUCUCUAAUAGUGAUGAGGGGGGCCCUUUUAUAAAAUAAGGUUUCGCUCCUCAGUACAUAAAUAAUGGGUGCUCUUUAAUGAAAGUGAAGGAGUCCCUUUUAUAGAAUAAGGGCUCGCCCCUCCAUACAUAAGUAAUGGGCUAAGUCCCCCGAGUAUUUUUCAUGAGGUCCAGUUGAGGCCCAAUAUAUGGUGUAUAGUGUAGUCCCCCAAGUUUUCAGUCAAUAGAGUAUGUUGGCUGGAGACUUCAUAUUGAAUCCAUGUAUGGGCCGAAGUGGCGGUGGUUCCGAGGCGGUAUUUGUAUACCUUGCAUUGAAGCUUUGUAAGUGAAGCUUUGAAGCUAGAGCUCUGCAAAUGAAGCUUUUGAAGCUAGAGCUUUGUAAAUGAAGCUUUUGAAGCUAGGGCUAUGUAAAUAAAGCUUUUGAAGCUGAUUGACAUGAGUGAUGCUCAUGGAUGUUGUCAUGAGUGAUGCUCAUGAAUGUUAACAUGAGAGAUGCUCAUGAAUGUUGACAUGAAUGAUGAUCAUGAAUGUUUAUGUUUGAUUGUCAUGAGUGAUGCUCAAUAAUGUUUAUGUAUGAAUGAUAUGAGUAAUGCUCAUGUAUAAUUUGGAGUAUUAGGCGUACUUUUGAUCACCUGGUUGGUGGCAUGAAGAAGAGUACGGGUUGUACAUUUCAUCACCUGGUUGUGGCAUGAAUGGCUAGUUGCCAAAUUAGAGUACGGGUUGUACAUCUCAUCACCUGGUUGGUGGUAAUAGCGGCGGGUUGCCGAAUAAUUUUUAGAGUACUGGGCGUACUUUUGGUCACCUGGUUGGUAGUAAUAGCGGCAGGUUGUCGAAUAAUUGUGGAGUACUGGGCGUACUUUUGAUCACCUAGUUUGUGCUAUUUUGGGCUUAUGGGCCUUCGCCCUCCACAACAUGCUAGCCCAAUUCUUUUGGGCUUUGCCCCUUUUUUUUUUUUAUUUAUUUAUUUUUAGUUACCCUCUGAUGGGGUUUAUACAUAUUACCCUCUGAUAGGGUUUAUACAGAUGUCUUCGAAAGAUAAAAAUAAAUCUCAUCAUACAAAAACAAGAAAAGUAGAUUACAUCAUUCUGGUAGCGUGUUUAUUCCUUGCUUUUGCUUUCUCUUUUGCUUUCUGCUUUUAUUUUUUUCUCUUUUCCACCGCACUGCAUUUAUUAUUCUCUUGCUGAGGUCCAAGUGCAUUAGCCUUUGCAGAUGGCAGACAAAAGUAAAGUGAAGUUCUCUUUACUUUGCUUUACUUUGCAAAUUGCAAGUGGCGGGG